rnacentral:rRNA from 1 species
CUGGCGGCGUGCCUAAUACAUGCAAGUCGAACGGCUUUUCUAUGGAAGCUUGCUUCCACUGAGAAGAUAGUGGCGAACGGGUGAGUAACACGUGGGUAACCUGCCCAUAAGAGGGGGAUAACAUCCGGAAACGGGUGCUAAUACCGCAUAGUUUUCUUGAUCGCAUGAUCGGGAAAGGAAAGACGGCCUUUGUGCUGUCGCUUAUGGAUGGACCCGCGGCGUAUUAGUUAGUUGGUGAGGUAACGGCUCACCAAGACGAUGAUACGUAGCCGACCUGAGAGGGUGAUCGGCCACAUUGGGACUGAGACACGGCCCAAACUCCUACGGGAGGCAGCAGUAGGGAAUCUUCCGCAAUGGACGAAAGUCUGACGGAGCAACGCCGCGUGAGUGAAGAAGGUUUUUCCGGAUCGUAAAACUCUGUUGUCAGAGAAGGACAAGUUGGAGAGUAACUGCUCCAGCCUUGACGGUAUCUGACCAGAAAGCCACGGCUAACUACGUGCCAGCAGCAGC